GUGUCACACAGGACCGCCGGUCUUAAGCCGGAGGAAGUGGGGAUGACGUCAAGUCAGCAUGGCCUUUAUGUCCAGGGCUACACACACGCUACAAUGGUCAGCACAAUAGGUAGCCAAGCCGCGAGGUGGAGCCAAUCCUCAAAGCUGGCCUCAGUUCAGAUCGCAGGCUGCAACCCGCCUGCGUGAAGCCGGAGUUGCUAGUAACCGCAGGUCAGCAAUACUGCGGUGAAUACGUUCCCGGGUCUU
rnacentral:rRNA from 1 species